rnacentral:rRNA from 1 species
GAUGAACGCUGGCGGCGUGCCUAACACAUGCAAGUCGAGCGAUUUACUUCGGUAAAGAGCGGCGGACGGGUGAGUAACGCGUGGGUAACCUGCCCUGUACACACGGAUAACAUACCGAAAGGUAUGCUAAUACGAGAUAAUAUGCUUUUAUCGCAUGGUAGAAGUAUCAAAGCUUUUGCGGUACAGGAUGGACCCGCGUCUGAUUAGCUAGUUGGUAAGGUAACGGCUUACCAAGGCGACGAUCAGUAGCCGACCUGAGAGGGUGAUCGGCCACAUUGGAACUGAGACACGGUCCAAACUCCUACGGGAGGCAGCAGUGGGGAAUAUUGCACAAUGGGCGAAAGCCUGAUGCAGCAACGCCGCGUGAGCGAUGAAGGCCUUCGGGUCGUAAAGCUCUGUCCUCAAGGAAGAUAAUGACGGUACUUGAGGAGGAAGCCCCGGCUAACUACGUG